rnacentral:rRNA from 1 species
UAGGGAAUCUUCCACAAUGGGCGCAAGCCUGACGGAGCAACACCGCGUGAGUGAAGAAGGGUUUCGGCUCGUAAAGCUCUGUUGUUGGAGAGGAACGUGCGUGAGAGUAACUGUUCACGCAGUGACGGUAUCCAACCAGAAAGUCACGGCUAACUACGUG